rnacentral:lncRNA from 1 species
AGUGACCAAUGAGAACUGAUUACAAACCAUUUAACUGAACAAAAGUCACCUUCUGUUACACACAAGUUUAUCUGGAGAAAUAUUCAUGCAAUAUUCAUGAUGCUGCCUGGAAGUCCCAACACUUUAAUUCAUUCUCUACCAUCUCCAGAAACCAUGUCCUAACCAGCUUCACAGCCCCUUCCACUGAUGCUGACCCAUGUCCAUUUAGGUGGUUCACACUAGCUUACAUAUAAAUCCAAGGUGGUGUGAACCCUCUGCUUUUGUGUUUAAAAUUUCCUUUCAGAUUCAGAUUUAGAAUACUUGAUUAGUCCUGGAAGGACAAUUCAGUUUUACAAUCAACCCGUCCACAGAAGGGAAAGUUAUACUUUUAUGUAACCUAUAUAGGGUUCAAUAAGUUAUCAUGGAUUUGUUCAUCAAAAUGUCCUGAAUGUAUAAACAGUAAGUGCAGCAUCACCAAACAACCCUUUCUGCUGGCUUCAACAUCAAAUUUAAAAGUCUCUGAACACUAAGCUCUUACAGUUACACUGUCUUACUGUAUGUUUGUUUUCAGUGUAGCAGGAUGAUGUAUUUCAUCCUUGCUCCUGCACAUGUUGCCUGCUUCCUUGAAGCCUCCAUCAGCCAAUUACCUGAAGGGGGCACUCUAUAAAAGGGGGUAGUUGGACCCUCCCUCUCCCUCUUGCUCUGGCCUUUCCAUCACUUCCAGGUUGCCUUGCCUCUCGCAUCACGCGGCAGGUAAGAUAGCAGUGGCUGCUAACUAUGUUAACUGGGUGAUUAUUGUGCUUUGCUACCUCUGAUUCGACCUGUUUUCAGAUGCUUGAUGUUUGCUGUUCUCAUGCUGGUCACGGUGUAGAUCGCGGCAGACACCAGUGUAGCUGGGUCUGCACUCCUCUCGCUCCUCUCCCUCUCAGAUGAUCUUUUCACAUGGCCUGACCAGUAUGUAUGCCUUACGGCGAACCUGUACUUUCACUCUCUGCUCCUCCAACAUUAAUUAGAGUUUAUUAUGUUUGUGACAGGGGCUGUGUGUCCAGGUGUCUCCCUGGGGAACUCCAGCGGUGCAAGAUUGGUGAUAAGAUUACUGCAAGAUUACUGUAAGAAUUUGCAGCUUUGACGCUGCCUUAACGCUGCUUUGACGCUGCUCUGCCUCUGCUUUGCCUCGACCUGUGCUGCUCCCCCGCUGCUUGCCUGGCCGGGCGGCUGUGUGGCUGCUUUGACGUAGUGCUCCUACUUCUGUGCCUGCCUGCAGCUUCCUGCCUCUGCUCCCUUAUGGAUGUACAGCUCCUGGUGCUUUGCUGCUUUGCUGUUUUUUUUCUGCUGUUUUUUUUCUGCGGCUCUGAAAGUGAGGGGCUGGUCGCCGCAUAGAGGGACGCGGACAUGAAAUAAACUGUGGUUGGGCUGCACACAGGCUGGACUGGACCAGUGUAUUCAUGGUGUGCUGACGUCCUCAGCCCAAUUUUAAGGGAAUAGUUUUAAGGAAAGACAGUGUUACGGUGGGGUCACUUAAGUUCUUAGUUAAUUCAUUUUGUUUCUUUCCUUCAUUUGGUUUCCUGGUUUUCUUUUAUAAAUACUGGUUAUAUUUUUGGUCCUUUUGUUUUGAGUUCAUGGGGAAACAUUUUUUGAGUUAAAUUUGUUUCCAUGAAUUGAAUAAUUUCAUAUUUCGUUACAUCUUUUUUUUCCUUCCUUAUUUAGUUUAUUAGCUUAUUAUCCUCCUUUGGUUGAUUGGUAUGUUUUUGAUUAAUUAAGGGACAUCUUUUCUAAUUUACUUAUCGUUUUCUUUUUGUUUGUUCUAUUUUGGUUGUUCAUGAGUUGGGUUUUCUUGGCAGCAUAUGUGCUUUGCUUGAGCUAAUUCGUGGCUGCCACCCAUAAUAUUAGUAUUGUUUGUUAUUAUUUUGUAUAGGUAUUUUUAGUUAUUUUCUCUAUUUGAGUGUAACCCACUAACCCCCUUUUCUUUUGUCCCUUUCAGUUGCUGAGAGCUUGCAGUGGUGGUUCCUGGUGUCCUGGUGGUGGUUUCCCUCAUAUGGUGUGCUGUUUAUCCCCUGGGCUUUUGUUGUUUUCACCGAGUGAGUGUUCAUGUGAUUGCCAUGUGUGAUUGGGGUGUGAUUGGGGCCACUGGUGAGUCCCUGUUCUUCCUGAUGUAUGAUUGCCACGUGUGCUUGGGGUGCCUUUUCUUCUCUGGGUAGGGUUAGAUCUCUCCUUGGUAACUAUGUCUCUGUCUUUUCUGUCCAUGAUGGAGACUUGGGCUGCACAGACCUCAUAGCCCAUGACAUCCCCCUCCUGGAUAAUAUUCCAGUGAGGCAACGCUACAGGCGAAUUCCUCCAUCAGACUAUGAGGCUGUGAAGCAGCAUAUCAACCAGUUGCUUGAGGCUCAGAUCAUUAGGGAGAGUAGCAGUCCUUAUGCCUCUCCGAUUGUUCUUGUGAAGAAGAAAGACGGGACUUUGCGAAUGUGUGUUGACUAUCGGCAACUGAACAGCAAGACCAGGAAGGAUGCUUUUCCUCUACCACGCAUUGAAGAGUCUCUUGAUGCUCUAAUGAAUGCCAAAUGGUUUUCCACGCUGGACCUUGCCAGCGGAUACAAUCAGGUUCCUGUAGCAGAGAAUGAUUGUGCCAAAACUGCCUUUUGCACCCCCUUUGGGUUGUUCGAAUGGAACCGCAUGCCCUUUGGACUUUGCAACGCUCCUGGCACCUUCCAGCGACUCAUGCAGCGGCUGUUUGGGGUCCAACAAUGUUGAUCCUUACUCCUCUAUCUGGAUGACAUUAUCGUCUUUUCUUUCACCAUCGAACAGCACUUGGAGAGGUUGGGUUAAGUGUUGGAAUGGUUGCGUUCCGAGAAUCCGAAGGUGAAGCUUGCAAAGUGUGCCUUUUUCCAGCAACAGGUGCAGUAUUUGGGUCAUGUGGUUUCGGACAAAGGGCGCUCCACUGAUCCAAGUAAGGUCGAAGUGGUUGCUAUCUGGCCAUCUCCCUCUACAGUUUCUGACCUGCAAUCAUUUCUCCCUUCCUUUUGUCCUGGAAGUUGAUGCCAGCUAUGGUGGUCUUGGAGCUGUGCUUACACAGGAGCAAGGUGGGAAGGUAAGACCAAUAGCUUAUGCCAGCUGUGGUCUAAGGCCCACUGAGCGCAACAUGGUCAACUACAGCUCCAUGAAACUGGAGUUUGUGGCGCUCAAGUGGGCCAUGACAGAAAAAUUCAAGAAGUAUCUCCUUGGUAACAAGUGUGUGGUCUACACCGACAACAACCUGCUUAGCCAUUUGUCCACUGCUAAGCUUGGUAUCACUAAACAGCGUUGGGCUGCCCAGUUGGCAUCUCCUGAUUUCGUGAUCAGGUACCGCUCAGGGCGGAGCAACCAAAACGCUGAUGCGUCGUCCUACCAGUAUACACCUGGAGUUCAAGACACCGAAACCAUGCUCCCUGGGACUUCUCUUACUCAUCCUUUACAGCAGGCACUCAAGGUGAAAAAGGCUGAAGUGACACAAUCAGCUGUGCUGGCUCUCCUGUACCAUUCUCAGUCAGACAUCAGUGCACUCCAGCAAGCUGACCCUGUUCUACAAGAGCUCCUUGUCUUCUGGCAACAGAAGAGGCAUCCUGAUAGGGAGGAGUGCAAACAGCUAUCUCGGCCUGUUUAAGCACUACUGCGCCAAUGGGACCAUUUGGUGGAGCGUGAUGGGGUCCUCCUGAUGGUGGCGAGGCAGUUCCUCAGUUGCUCCUGCCUGCUGCCUUGAAAGAGGAGGUUUUAACUGAGGUCUACCAGAGGCAUGGCCACCAAGGUGUCGGAAGGACCCUGGAGCUUCUCCGGCAACGUUGUUAUCGGCCUGGUAUGACCUCUGAAGUGGAAAGUUGGUGUCAGACAUGUGAGAGAUGUCAGGUUGCUAAGAAUUCCCAACAUCCUGUUCGUAGUCUCAUGGGGCACCUGUUGGCUUCCAAGACAAAUGAGAUACUUGCCAUGGACUACACUGUGCUUGAACCCACCUAUAAGAGGGUUGAAAAUGUCUUGGUGUUAACUGACGUCUUUAGUAAGUACACACUGGCUGUCCCUACAUGGGACCAACGGGCUUCCACUGUGGCCCAAGUUCUGGUUGUGGAGUGGUUCUCAAAGUUUGGUGUACCUGCCCAAAUCCUUUUGGACCAAGGCCGCAACUUUGAGAGCGCUUUGAUCCAACAACUUUGUGCCCUUUAUGACAUCAAAAAGUCUCACAUAGUUCCGUACCAUCCUGCUGGAAAUGGUCUGUGUGAGCCGUUCAACUGGACUCUUCAUGACUUGCUGUGCACUCUGCCGGUGUCUUGGAAGCGAGACUGGAGCUCCUGCUUGCCACAGUUGCUAUAUUCUUAAUAAUAAUAAUAAUAAUAAUGCAUCAGAUUUCAUAUAGCGCUUUAUCAGAGACCCUCAAAGCGCUUUACAUUGGAUACAUCAUUCAUUCGCUCACACAGUCACACUUUGGUGGUGGUGGAAACGUGGCUGCCAUUCUGCGCCUACGGCCUCUCCGACCACCACCACACAACACUCACAAUCAUACACCAGUGGAGGACACACACUGGGAGCAAGGUGGGUUAAGUGUCUUGCCCAAGGACACAACGGACAGACUUGGAUUAGGGGGGAAUCGAACCGCCAACCUUCUGGUCAUUGGACGACCGCUCUACCUCCUGAGCUACUGCCGCCCCGGCAGUAGUCUUAUAAUACCACCCCUCAUCAGGCCACUGGUGAGUCCCUGUUCUUCCUGAUGUAUGAUUGCCACGUGUGCUUGGGGUGCCUUUUCUUCUCUGGGAUCCCCCACAUCCCGUCCCUAGAUCCAUUUCCAUUUGGUAAGCCUCAGCACCUGAAAAAGGGCUCACCUCCCCUAUUUGUGUGUGUGUG